GCGGCGGGCAGGCCAGGGCCUGGAAGGGGCGCUGCUUGAGGGGGAGGCAGGGAAUCAGGCCGUGGGGAUUAUGCAGAGGGGGCGCCAUCAAAUGGGGCAAAGAGAGCUCUGAAAACGCAUUGCCGGGUGAGGGGCCUUGCAGGACAAGAAAAGCAUGGGAAAUACACAGGGUGAGAGCAAAGGGACCUGUGAGGGCGGAGGGCACAGUCGGAUGGAAAAGUGAGGGGCACAAUGGUGCACACCGCUAGUGGAAGCCCAUAGCCCCGUCUGUGGCCAAAGAACUAUUAUGGGGCACCUUCGGGAGCAGGCUCAGGGGGCUGGGAUGCGAAGUAGGGGGGCGUUUAGCCCUAGAGGCCUGUGAUGCUUAAGGCGGGGGAGCAGUCAGGCUAAGAGAGACUGGGAAUAGGCUUUUAGAAAAGGAGGGGCCUGUCCGCUGGAUAUGGAUAGGAACACCAGGCCAGGUCCAGGGACCAGUGGCGGCAGGGGGUUGGUGCAGGACCUGGGAAUUCCAUUCUUUUCCUGAGGGAGCGCAGGCAUUCCAGGCUGUGGGUAUCUGAACCGGGAAGGACAGUGCGAGGUGGAGAAACGGGUACAGACGAGAGUGCUAGAGGAGGUGGGGCCGCUCUGGAGCCGCCUGUGCCUACCAGUUCGGAAGAGCCCCCAUCAUCCUAGGCCUACGUGCCUAGAGUCCUUUGCUGGGCGCGGAUCCUGCCGCCUGUCCGUGGUCCCGGAGUCAGGGAGGAAUGAUGUCAUCUCUGCCGGCGCGGAGGGGAGGGCAACGCGGGUGCACCGAGGCCAGGCCUAAGGGAGAAUAUGCUCCUUGGCCACCUCCCGGGGGGCUACCUGACUCUUGUCAGCCUGGCGACAGUGGGAUGGGAGACGCAGAGGCCUAGCCAGCUGGUAUAGAGAGAGGGGGAAGGGAGAGGGCACCCAGACUCUCUUUGCUUUCUCCCCUUGGAGUCCGAGAGCAGGAAUUAGAAGAAGGUAGGGCCUGUUAGGAACCUGAAAGUGUGGAUGCUGUAUUCUCUGAGCUCUGCUAGAGCUGAGCUCUCCAAGUUCUGAAGCUUUGGGGCUCCCUAAAGUUUCCUCCCUCUGUGUUAGGUGGGGUGGCCAGGAAUAGGUUCUACCCUUGGGCCCACAGCCUCUGCCUGACAUGCGUGCUUGGUGGCUUCCUGGGCAAGUAACCUGCCAUUACAGCAGCCAAGAUGGGCCUUGGCAGGGACCCAUCACCAUCUAUAUGCCACACCUUUUGGAGAAUGGUGGAGAGAAUCAUUAGUAGCCACCUAGUAGGAAAUAAGUGGAUUUUUACCCGUUUUGUGACUACUUAGUUCUAGAAACCAAAACAAAGAAGCUUUACAGAAGUGUACAAUAUUAAACUGGAGAGAGAAAUGCUGCAGGACUUUUUGUUAGCCUGAUUCCAUCAUUGGGUUACCUGGGAGACAGAAAAUCCUGGAGAGAAGUCCAUCCCAUAAACUUAAAGAAGGACUUUGGACUAGCUGAAGAGAACUUUCCUUUCUGAGUUCUCUUUCUAGCCAACGUGGCUUCUCAAACUAGAUUGUCCUUCCAGUUCUAAGCAUCUAAUCAAGAACCAAAAAAGAGAGUGGAUGAAGGAGGAGGAGGAGGAGGUUCAAAUGAACCAGGAGAAGAAAGCUAUGAGUUGGUUGUCAUCUCCCAUCUGGGGUCCCUUAGAAGGGAGGCAAUAACUGUCCAAGAAAAAGAGAGCAGGAUGAGGCCCACCAGGUUCUGUUAGUUGUCCUUGGUGCCUCUGUUAUUGCCUGAAGUUCUGAGUAGUGGUUUGGCUGGGUGGAGGAGUCUUGAGCUGUUUCUGGUCUGUGUGGCCCUGGAGUAGAAGUACUGGUGGCAAGGAGGCACUUAGAAAAACUGUGGCUGCCUUCAGACCCUUUUAUGGAGGACUAAAGUAAUCCCUGUGUGCAAGAGAAUACUUUGUUCAGGUUGAGUAAGAGCCUUAUGGAAAUAGCAAAAUAGUCAUCCCCCAUUUGGUGGACAUAAACAUUUCUCUGCUUCUUGACCUCUGUCCCCAGGUUGUAGUCUAGAGGCACCCUAAAACUCCUUAAAUUACCUGUUUGUUGUUGAGACCAGUAGAAUCUUGCAUGGCAUUUCCCCAGGAACCUUCACUUUGGGGCAUAAGGAAUCAAGAUAGCAUACCAUGGGGGUAAAAGGCAGAAGAGAGGGCAAAAUGGCUGUUUGUGGGUAUUUGGGUAGAUCAUAAAAACUAGAAUCCCAGGCUCAGACUCAGCUAUGAUCUGUUUUCAUUUUUGCCAUUAUUUAUUGAGACCUCUUAAGUCUCUCUUCUUCCCUAGACUGUUUUCUCAUUUAUGAAGAAAAACUAUUUAAAUAAUAGAUUCCCACUCCCCAUCCCAAAGACUAUCAUAAAUACCUGAUGCCAUUGAUUUGGCAGAUUGAUUCACCAAAUAAUUGUUGAGCAUCUGCUCUAUUCCAGGUACUACACUAAGUAUUAGGGACAGUGGUUAGCAACACAGACACAGAUGUGGUCCUGCCCUCGUGGAGUUCACAUUUCAUAAAAAGCUUAUUUCUUUAUUCCUUCAAUGUGAGCCCCCUUGAGGGCAGAGCAGGGGCUGCCUUCUUAAGUCCCAAGGAAGUAGGUAAUUGUUGGUGCUAUUAGCAUCAUUACCCCUUUCUGGACCAAGCUGUAUGGAGAGAGGCCUGUUAUAUGGGCUCCAUAAUCAGAUAACUCUCUCCAACCCAUAGUAGUGGAAAGGAUCUAGAGGCAUUCCUUAUUUAGAAAGAUAAACUCUAGGGGGAGCACAUCUUUUUUUUUUUUUUUACUUGAAAGAGAAACUCAAGCUUGGAAAGGAGGCCUGGGGGAGUGGCAGGAGCUGGGAGAGAAGGCAUAGCCAGAUCUGGGUGUUUCCAAGGUGCUAAUUUAAGCAUUAGUUCUCAGCUAGUGGGAGGAAAAGGAAGAGAUCUCUGCCAUGUUAUUGCUGCUGCUGUUGUCACAGCUGCAUGAAGCCUCCUGUCUGGCUGGGGUGGGAGUUUGCCUAAAGGGAAUAGCUUACCUCCUUUCCAUAUCACACCAAUUAUUUAAUUGGCCUGGCUGCAUCUCAGCAGCUGAACCAGGCCUGGGCCUAUCCCUGAUAACUCCCCAGGGUCUCUUGCUGUCUCCUUAUGAAAACAAUAAGAGCUCCUCUUAGAGACCUGUCCACUGAGCUCCGUUCCUGCUGUGUCUAUCUCCCAGGUAAUCCUGAGUGGUUUUGAGCACAGAUACUCCCAAAGAAACUGCCAGGGAUAGGCACACUGAGUGUGUCAGCUCUGUGGCCAAGCCAUAUACCACACUGAUCUAGAGAAGCUCCCAAUAGCCCAAGGCUCUCUGUUGAGCAGUUGGGUCAUGUUUGGGCUGUUGUUUGAGUAACAGGUAUAGGCUCUCUGGCCUUAUUUUCUGCUCAGCUGGUUGGUAUAGCUGCACAGUCUAUAUCUUCUCUUUGGCAGCAAUUGGAAAGGAAGAAAUUUGUUGCAAGAAAAACAAAUGGAGCUUUUAAGCACUUAAUUGUGUCAGGCAACACCCUGCCUCCUGUGCUCUCAGAGGCCAGAGAGACUUAAAGAAUGACAUAUGGCACCAGACAGGGUCUCUGCAUACUUGAGAGAAAUGCUAAACUGGCCUCACUGAAACCAGGUUAUCUGUUAACACUCUUUAGUUUAUGAGCAUUAGCUAUGUAUCUUCUCAGUUCCAGGUACUUUAAGGAUACAGAGACAAGCAAGAUCUCUCCAGCAGAUGGCCAGGAGAAGGAUGGGCUCACAUGGGUAUAGGAGGGUUUUUAGAUACAUAUCAGAAACGAGUGGAGAUCAAUGGAAGGUAUUUCUGAGAAAGAGUGCACCUCCCUUGAGAGAAGGUGAAGAAUGCCAAGGUUUUGACCCUUUGACUACAUGAGCUUGGAAAGGAGUUUCAGGCUCUUACUGCCUCCUGUCAUUCAGGGAUGGGGAUGGUUAGGACCGGACAUUAAUUCAAUAAAUGGGCCACAGAAGCUCCUGAAGGAGGCAGAGAGACCAUAAUAAAGAGAGCAAGUAGCCACUAUAGAAAAUUGACCUACAUGUAUUCUAUGGUCUAGGCACCUUAAAUUGCCUCCUUGUAGCCAGAUGACUUUUCUAUUUAAGGGUGGAUUCUUAUAGUGGGUCCAUGUGGCUUGUGACCCAGUAGUAUUUCUCAGGCUCCUGGGGAGAGGCACACCCUUCUCUCCCUGUGUUGCAAACUGAGGAUCAGGUUUGGCCAGGCCUUUAGCCCCUUAUUACUCAUCUCCUCAUCCAACAAACACUGAGUAAGAACCUACUCUCUGGUAGGUGUUGUGCUAGGUUCAAUAAGACAGAAUCUUGCUCCAGGAACUUGCACAGUCUAGCACAGCUGGAGGCAUUAUAGGAUAGUGAACAAUGCAAGAGAAGUAAGAACCAGGCCCGGUAGGCCCAAAGGAAAACAAGAAGAGCUCUUAUAAAGUGAUCAGGAAGGCUUCACAGAGGAGGCAUUGCUGAACUGGCCCUUGAAAGAGUACUAGAAGCUUGGCAGACUGACAAAAUGAGGUGAAGGCAAGAAUUCCAGGCAAAAGAAACUAAAGGGUGCAUUUGGAAUAAAUGAAGUGUAAUUAAGGGACUAACAUGAUCAAAUUUGAGUUUCAGUUAUCAUUCCAGUGGUGGAUGAGAGAUUGUAGAAGAUGAGAUUGGAAGUUGGAAAACUAAUACAGAGGGAACCCUGGAGUCCUGGAAAGCCAAAGGUCAGAGUGGCACUGGCCCCACAGCCUCAAAAGGGCUGCUGAGAAGUCUGCUCCCUGCCAGCGAAUACCUUUCCCCUACAAGCUGCUUUGAUGAAUGCAAGAGAACUGGUGGUGGCAAGGACUCAUAAUGGGUUUUUAUUGUUGUUUUUCUUUCCAGCAGUACUUUUCUGAAGGAAAAAUAAAAUCCUUUGUUGUCUGA